rnacentral:rRNA from 1 species
CGCGAAAACUCCGCAAUACGCGAAGGCGUGACGGGGCUAUCCCGAGUGCCGUCCGCUGAGGAUGGCUUUUCCCCAGUGUAGAUAGCUGGGGGAAUAAGGAGAGGGCAAGUCUGGUGUCAGCCGCCGCGGUAAUACCAGCUCUCCGAGUGGUGGGGACGUUUAUUGGGCCUGAAGCAUCCGUAGCCAGCUGAGCAAGUCCCCAGUUAAAUCCAGCGAUUUAAUCGUUGGACUGCUGGGGAUACUGUCCGGCUAGGGGGUGGGAGAGGCCGACGGUAUUCCCGGGGUAGGGGUGAAAUCCUAUAAUCCCGGGAGGACCACCAGUGGCGAAGGCUGUUGGCUAGAACAUGCCCGACGGUGAGGGAUGAAAGCUGGGGGAGCGAACCG